rnacentral:lncRNA from 1 species
AAUCAUCUGCUCCUCCAAUCAGAGGUCAGUGUUCUGCUCCUCUGAGGGGGAUCAGCUCCUCUACAGCUGGACUCUGAAUGGAGAUCCACUGAUUGAUGGAAACAGCAGCAUUGUUCUGGAUGAGGGAACUGAUGGAGACAUCAGCUGCAGCGUGAAGAACCACGUCAGUCACGCACAGAAGACCAUUAGACUCGAACCCUGUCCUGUGUCUGUGGUGUUUGUGCUGGCCUGGGGUUUCCAGCUGAUGGUUCUGUUGGGUCUGUUAGGAGGUUUUCACAUCUACAUGAGACACACGUCAGGAAAGAAAGAGGAAGAUCAGAAAGUGAGAAUGAGCAGAUUUAGAGAGCGACAUGAACACACAGCUGAAGAUUCAUGAGAGCAGCAGCAGAUCUUCACAUCUGUGAGAAAUGACUUCAGAAUCUCAGCGAUUCUCACAUCAGUCCAGCUUUCAUCAGGCGACAGCAGGAGAUCUUACAGAAUAAAGCCAGAAGACAUUUUCUGCAGUUUUAGUUAAGAAUCUCUUCUUUGAUUAGAUGAUUUUCUGGACAUUUGUUUUUGCAUCAGUUUAAUGCUUAUUUUAUUCAUUUGUCUUUACGCUUUGAAUGAACCAGCAGUAUUUUACAUCAUUACAUGAAACUCCUUCUGUUCAUCCAGAUUGUGAAGUCAUCCUGUGUGUUUUUCACAUUUUCUGCUCUUGUUAUUUUAUUCAGUUGGUUUUUGUUGAUUUCUCUUCAUAUGCGGCUUCUGUUUAGAUGUUUUAUCUGUUCAAA